UAUCUCUGUAGAGUCUGCAUAUCAAUAAGCGGAGGAAAAGAAACUAACUAGGAUUCCCUCAGUAACGGCGAGUGAAGCGGGAAGAGCUCAAAUUUGAAAUCUUCAAGGUUCUACCUUGACGAAUUGUAGUUUAAAGAAGUGUUUUCUGUUGGAGUUUUGGUAAAAGUUCUUUGGAAUAGGACAUCAUAGAGGGUGAGAAUCCCGUAUUUGACCAUUAUUUCCAGCUUUGUGAUACACUUUCAAAGAGUCGGAUUGUUUGGGAAUGCAGUCCAAAAUGGGUGGUAAAUUUCAUCUAAAGCUAAAUAUUGGCGAGAGACCGAUAGCGAACAAGUACCGUGAGGGAAAGAUGAAAAGAACUUUGAAAAGAGAGUUAAACAGUACGUGAAAUUGUCAAAAGGGAAGCGUUUGACACCAGUGUUGUUUUCUCGAAAAUCAAUUAAAAAAGGCAGGAUUUUGUGUUGUAUUGACUUUAUCAGCUUUCUGCACUCUUUUCUUGUCUUUUUUAAUGCACCUUUCGUUUAACAAGUCAACAUCAAUUUCUUUUGUUGUAAAAGGGUCAUUGGAAGGUGGCUUUCUUUUCGGAGAAAGUGUUUAUAGCCUUUGGCCUCUGCAAUCGGAGAGAUUGAGGUCUGCAGCGUAGAUCCUUCGGGGUUAGAUACAUUUGUGCUAAGUUAUAGCCUUUCAUAGACAACUUGUUGACUAUGAUCAGUCAUGUAGCUUACUCGCUUAUGCUAUUUUACCUACGCUUAGGAUGUUGAAGUCAUCGUAUCGCGC
rnacentral:rRNA from 1 species